rnacentral:rRNA from 1 species
AUAUGCAAGCUAACACUUACUAAAGUACCGGAUCCCAUCAAAACUUAGCAGUUAAGCGUGUUUGAGUGAGAGUAGUACUGGGAUGGAUGGCUUCUUAAGAAGUCCUUGUGUUGCACAAC